CCCCUCCUCCGAGUGCUCUCUGACCUCGGCCUAACCACCCGGGGGCUCGACCACCCUUGUCGCCACCCUGGCGUCACGUGCGAGGCCGGCGGCGCCGCCGUCCGCGUCUCGCUCCCCUCCCACCGCCUCACUGGCUCCCUCUCCGCCGCAGUCGGUAACCUUCCCUCCCUCCGCCAGCUUGAUCUUCCCGACAACGGCCUCGCUGGCUCCCUCCCCCGCGAGCUCGCCCUGUGCCGCGCCCUCCGCGUCCUCGACCUCCGCCGCAACCGCAUCUCCGGUUACGUCCCCCGCGAGAUCUCCGCACUCCCCGACCUCCGUGUCCUCGACCUUUCCGACAACCGCCUCUCCGGCGACCUCUCCUUCCUCGCUCUCCUCCCUAACCUCGAGCGCCUCUCCCUGUCCAACAACCUCUUCUCUGGCCGCGUUCCCCUGUCCCUCUCUGCCUCCAAGAAGCUUCGCUUCCUCGACCUCUCCGGCAACGUCGGCCUCUUCCAUGGCGACCUCCCUUCUCGUCCGGCUUCUCGUCUCGCUCUCCGCCGGAGUCUUAUCCCGAAGCGAUAUGUUUUAGCCGAGACCACCACCCCAGGGAAUAAC
rnacentral:lncRNA from 1 species